AGCGAACGCUGGCGGCAGGCCUAACACAUGCAAGUCGAACGGACCCUUCGGGGUUAGUGGCGGACGGGUGAGUAACACGUGGGAACGUGCCUUUAGGUUCGGAAUAGCUCCUGGAAACGGGUGGUAAUGCCGAAUGUGCCCUUCGGGGGAAAGAGUUGUCGCCUUUAGAGCGGCCCGCGUCUGAUUAGCUAGUUGGUGAGGUAACGGCUCACCAAGGCGACGAUCAGUAGCUGGUCUGAGAGGAUGACCAGCCACACUGGGACUGAGGCACGGCCCAGACUCCUACGGGAGGCAGCAGUGGGGAAUCUUGCGCAAGGGGCGAAAGCCUGAAGCAGCCAUGCCGCGUGAAUGAUGAAGGUCUUAGGAUAGUAAAAGUCUUUCAACGGGGACGAUAAUGACGGUACCCGGAGAAGAAGCCACGGCUAACUUCGUG
rnacentral:rRNA from 1 species